rnacentral:rRNA from 1 species
CCGGGGGUGUCCGAAUGGGGCAACCCACGCGCAGUGAGUGCGCGUACGCCGAAAGGCGGGCGAACGCGGGGAACCGAAACAUCCCAGUACCCGCAGGAGGAGAAAGAAACAUCGAUUCCCCUAGUAGCGGCGAGCGAAAGGGGAGGAGCCCAAACCGCGGCGGUCGAGGCCGCCGCGGGGUAGUAGGGCCGGGGCUUGUGCCCUUAGCGGCGCGGACGGGAAGGCGGCUGGAAAGCCGCGGACGAAGAGGGUGACAUCCCCGUACCGGCACGCGCUGCGAGGGCGCCCCGGUCCCUGAGUACGGCAGGACACGAGAAAUCCGGUCGGAAUCUGCGGGGCCCAUCCCGCAAGGCUAAAUACUCCCGGAAGACCGAUAGCGCAUAGUACCGUGAGGGAAAGGUGAAAAGCACCCCGCGAGGGGAGUGAAAGAGAUCCUGAACCCGUGCGCCUACGAGCGGUCGGAGCCCCUUUAUGGGGUGACGGCGUGCCUUUUGCAUAAUGAGCCUACGAGUCAGCGUCGCCGGCGAGGUUAAGCGCCUCAGGCGCGUGAGCCGGAGCGAGAGCGAGCCCGAACAGGGCGUUUUAGUCGGCGGCGCUGAACGCGAAACCCGGUGAUCUACCCUUGUCCAGGCUGAAGUCGGCGUGACAGUCGAUGGAGGGCCGAACCGAUAGGCGUUGAAAAGCCUCCGGAUGAGGCGAGGGUAGGGGUGAAAGGCCAAUCAAACCGGGAGAUAGCUCGUACUCCCCGAAAUGCCUUUAGGGGCAGCCUCGGAGUCAAGUUCCGCGGAGGUAGAGCGACCGACAGGAUGCGAGGGCUUCGCCGCCUAUCAAUUCCUGACGAACUCCGAAUGCCGCGGCACGUUAUCCGGGAGUGAGUCGGCGGGUGCUAAUGUCCGUCGGCGAGAGGGAAAGAGCCCGGAGCGCCGGCCAAGGCCCCCAAUAGCGGCCCGAGUUGCAGGAACGAGGUGGGCCCGCAGAGACAGCCAGGACGUUAGCUUGGAAGCAGCUAUUCGUUCAAAGAGUGCGUAACAGCUCACUGGUCGAGCGGGCCCGCGUGGAUGAUGAACGGGCAUAAGGCCGCAGCCGCAGCCGCGCGGUGCGAAUAGCACCGGUAGGGGAGCAUUCCGGACGGCGUAGAAUGGCAUCCGCGAGGUUGCCUGGAGCGUCCGGAAAAGAAGAUGUAGGCAUGAGUAACGACAAUGCGGGCGAGAGCCCCGCACGCCGCAAGCCCAAGGUUUCCUGAUCAACGUCAUUCGGAUCAGGGUAAGUCGGGUCCUAAGGGUCCCCCGAAAGGGCAAUCCCGAUGGAAGAAUGGUCAAGAUUCCAUUACCCCCGUCUGUUUGCCGUGCGAUGACGGAGAAGUGACACCGCCGCCGCGCGACGGAAUGCGCGGUUUAAGGGAGGUAGGGGUUUUCCCCGAGCCCCGAAAGUACCGUUCCCCCUCGGGGGAGCGGAUAGCGCGGGUAAGCAAGCUCCCGAGAAAAGUCGCACGGCGCCAGGCAGUCGGGGCCCGUACCGUAAACCGACACAGGUGGGCGGGGAGAGCAUCCCAAGGCGUACGAGUG